rnacentral:rRNA from 1 species
UACGUAGGCAGCAAGCGUUGUUCGGAAUUACUGGGCGUAAAGGGUGCGUAGGCGGUUUGGUAAGUCUUAUGUGAAAUCUAUGGGCUCAACUCAUAGACUGCAUGAGAAACUGCCGGGCUUGAGUAUGGGAGAGGUGAGUGGAAUUCCUGGUGUAGCGGUGAAAUGCGUAGAUAUCAGGAGGAACACCUGUGGCGAAAGCGGCUCACUGGACCAUAACUGACGCUGAUGCACGAAAGCUAGGGGAGCAAACAGG